rnacentral:rRNA from 1 species
UACGUAGGGUGCAAGCGUAAUCGGAAUUACUGGGCGUAAAGCGUGCGCAGGCGGUUAUGUAAGACAGGUGUGAAAUCCCCGGGCUUAACCUGGGAACUGCAUUUGUGACUGCAUAGCUAGAGUACGGUAGAGGGGAUGGAAUUCCGCGUGUAGCAGUGAAAUGCGUAGAUAUGCGGAGGAACACCGAUGGCGAAGGCAAUCCCUGGACCUGUACUGACGCUCAUGCACGAAAGGCGUGGGGAGCAAACAGG